GGACGAGCGCUGGCGGCGUGCUUAACACAUGCAAGUCGAACGGAAAGGCCCCUUUGGGGGUGCUCGAGUGGCGAACGGGUGAGUAACACGUGAGUAACCUGCCCCCUUCUUUGGGAUAACUGUCGGAAACGAUGGCUAAUACCGGAUAUUUACCUUGUGCCGCAUGGUGUGGGGUGGAAAGUUUUUUCGGUGGGGGAUGGGCUCGCGGCCUAUCAGCUUGUUGGUGGGGUGAUGGCCUACCAAGGCUGACGGGUGCCGGCCUGAGAGGGCGACCGGCCACACUGGGACUGAGACACGGCCCAGACUCCUACGGGAGGCAGCAGUGGGAAUAUUGCACAAUGGGCGAAAGCCUGAUGCAGCGACGCCGCGUGAGGGAUG
rnacentral:rRNA from 1 species